GAUCACGUGAGGUGACGUCAUCACGUCCGCAGCCUAGCAGCGGAACAAUACGACGUAAACAAAGCGGACGGGCUCCGCUAACGGUGACUCCGCUCGUGCUUCGUGGGUAAAACACGGCUCGCAGCUGCUUUCCGGUUGUCAAGGAAACGAAUGAUCACGUGUAUCGAUCACAAGUCCGGGGAUCGGUCAGCGUCGGGGGCGCCGGUAACGCGGCUGUUCGUCAUGAGCUUAGCUCGCCGUGUAGCCGAGUCCGGUUCCUAAUCGAUCAGCGAGAGAGAGAGAUGCCCACCUGAUCACCUGGACCUGGACCCCUGAUCACCUGGACCCCUGAUCACCUGGACCCCUGAUCACCUGGACCCCUGAUCACCUGGAACCCUGAUCACCUGGACCCCUGAUCACCUGGACCUGGACCCCUGAUCACCUGGACCUGGACCCCUGAUCACCUGGACCCCUGAUCACCUGGACCCCUGAUCACCUGGACCUGGACCCCUGAUCACCUGGACCUGGACCCCUGAUCACCUGGACCCCUGAUCACCUGGACCUGGACCCCUGAUCACCUGGACCCCUGAUCACCUGGACCUGGACCCCUGAUCACCUGGACCCCUGAUCACCUGGACCCCUGAUCACCUGGAACCCUGAUCACCUGGACCCCUGAUCACCUGGACCUGGACCCCUGAUCACCUGGACCUGGACCCCUGAUCACCUGGACCCCUGAUCACCUGGACCCCUGAUCACCUGGACCCCUGAUCACCUGGACCCCCCCGGACUGAGAUGUUCAGCCUGAUGGCGAACUGCUGCAACUGGCUGAAGCGCUGGCGCGAGCCCGCGAGGAAAGUGACUCUGGUGAUGGUCGGACUGGAUAAUGCAGGGAAGACGGCCACGGUUCGAGGAAUCCAAGGAGAGAACCCCCAGGACGUGGCUCCCACUGUGGGCUUCUCCAAAGUGGACCUGAAGCAGGGCAGGUUCGAGGUGACCAUCUUCGACCUGGGCGGGGGGAAGAGGAUCCGGGGCAUCUGGAAGAACUACUACUCGGAGUCCCACGGCGUGGUGUUCGUGGUGGACUCCAGCGACGUCCAGAGGAUCCAGGAGACGCGGGAGACCAUGGCCGAGGUCCUCCAGCACCCGCGCAUCGCGGGGAAACCUGUGCUAGUGCUGGCCAACAAGCAAGACCAAGAGGGAGCGCUGGCUGAAGCCGACAUCAUCGAGAACCUGUCGUUGGAGAAGCUCGUCAACGAGAACAAGUGCCUCUGUCAGAUCGAGCCAUGCUCUGCCGUUCUAGGCUACGGCAAAAAGGUGGACAAGUCCAUCAAGAAGGGCCUGAAGUGGCUGCUCAACAACAUCGCCAAAGACUACGAGGCCAUCACUGAGCGCGUGCAGAAGGACACCGCCGAGCAGCGCGCCCAGGAGGACCAGGACAAGAAGGAGAGGGUGGCGAGAGUGCGGCAGAUACGAGAGGAGAGAGAACGGCAGGAGCAGGAAGAGGCGGAGCGAGAGGGCCGGCCGAUCCAGGAGGAGGAGCUCGACGAUGACAACAUGCCCAGCCCCUUCCAACCAAUCAGCAACGUGAUCUCUGAGAAGGACGAUCGAGAGAAGGACCGGAGGAGGCAAAGAGAUCCGCAGGAGGCCAGGACCGACGGCCCGAAGACGGACGCCGAUCGGGAGGAAGAGGAGGAGGAGGAGGAGGAGGAGGAGGAGGAGGAGGAGGAGGAGCCAGGCGACCCGAGACAAACGCCGGAAAAUGCCGGUUCAGCCAAAACGGGCGAGCAGGACAAGAAGAAGACGAGGAAGCUGCACCUGAAGAGGAAGCACCGGGUGGACCCGCUGAGGACGGAGGCCGAGAGCCCCGCCCCUCCACCUCUUCCCGUGGGAUGGGCCACACCCAAAGUUUCUAGGCUGCCGAAACUAGAACCGCUCGGCGCCUCGAGACCUUCUGGUAAAGACGCCUGUGACGUCCCCGCCGCCGUUUAAUUACUCGUUCCUUCCUGUCUGUCACUCUCUCACUAACCCGGCCUCUGUGUGGACGAACUCAUCGACUCCCCGGCACUGAAUCGGUGUUUCCUCUCCGCGGCCGGGCGCCACUUCCGGCUCAGGCGCAAACUUUUCAAGCCUCUCCCGCCUCUCGCCAACCGGCCGCAGCCCAACGGCGACGCCCACGACGUCGUUUUGUAACCUCCAAUCACGGCGCUCCUCUCUUUGCUUUCUGUCUCCACACACACACACACACACACACACACACACACACACACACACGGACGCCGCGUGACCCGGCGAUCGCCUGAAGUGUGACAGGCAGACAGGAAAGACAAGGUGCACCAUGGGAAAUGAAGUCCAGCCUCACGACUUCGACGGGAGACUUUUUCAUUUUAAAUAUCAGUGUUAGACGUUUUUAUUUUUUUGUCCGACUGAAAUGCUUUUAAUUGACAGAAUGUGCACAUGUCCGCUCCAACCUUAUAUCGUCUGUUACUGAACGAUGGAUUUGUAUACACGCCGCCAUUAAACACGACCGUAUCUUAUUUGUGUGUUUUUGUAGUGUAAACAAAAGGUACUUUUCUCUGAGCUCUUUUCAUAGCCGAGUGCUUUAACGUGAACACUGAGACGUUGUUGUUGUUGUUGUUGUUGUUGUUGUUUUCUGGUCAUUUCUUUAGCAAUGAAGGCCUCGACAUUUCACUGAAGCGCCGUCCGCGAGAGGAUUUGUGAAACAUCUUCCGUCUUCAGCCAUAAAGGAGCUCGUCCUUUUAAAAAAAUGUAUUGUAAAAAAACAAAAGUGUGAAAGUAUAUUUGUCUACAGGGCUACAGAUUUGUUAUUGUUUACGCCGUGUGUGGUUUUUGAUAUUCCUCUGGAGGCAUCGAGAUGUGAGCUCUUCUCACGAUGUCUCCGGCACACACUUCUUAAGAUGGCUAACGUUACAUAUACAUAAAGACAAGAACACAGCAUUGCCCCAGUUAGUUGUGGGAGGAGGAACAGCUGAUUAUUGGGCCAGGACACACAGUUUGUGUCAUCUUGAAAUAUCACUUUUAUAAACUCCCAAUAUUGUUUUUCCAAACUAAAGCGCAGCACUCACUUUCUUGUUAAUGCGCUAAAUGUUUGAAAAACAACUUUUUUCUACCCAGUUUGACUUUUAUAACCGCACAAUUAAAGAUGUUUUAAAUAUAA